CGCCCCCAAUGUAAUAACGACAAAUUCAGAUUUACUAUGAUGUGAACACAAUUAGUCAGCUACCUACGCUAAGCAAAAUAGUUCCAAAACUUCGCAGUAACUCCAAAAUCAUAGUUCCCUAUCUAUUUUAAAAUUGACUGGCCAAUUUUGUACUAAAUUUAGCAAUCGUCUUUUAAAAUUGUAUGUAUAUUUUUGCUUUACGCGAUUUUAAUAUUACUACGCCAGCGGUCGAUCAUAGCCAAAGUACUUGCAUAAAUAUAGUACAAAUUACAUGUAGUCACAAGUUAAUUAAGUGUCAUAGAACUCAAAAAUUUAGCAAGUAAUGGAAUACGGAUUUCAGAUCAGCUAACUUUAAAGCUUAUAGGGCCUAAUGCUUCAUAAGUGUAAAUUUAAGAAAAACAAUGCAUGCGUAUGAAUACGAACUAUUUUCGCCCUUACGUCAUUUUACCGCAAUCGCCAUUGUUUACAAGUUCAUCCGUGAAAGAUUGAGAAGUUUAUAUAGAAUUUCCACGUGUUAAAACGAGUUGUUUGUGAAUAAAGGCUUGUUUGUUAGAUUUCAAUUGUGGCUCAGUUGGUUGUUUGCUGAGAAGCUGUGAAACAUAAUUAUACAGGCCAUUAAGGAGGUUUUUGUCAGAUUGAUGAAUGUGAAAUUAAGAGGACCCAUUUUGAGGAUGCUUUUUAUGAAUGGAAUCACGAGAGAUGAAGUCUAAAAUGUGAUACUGUCAAUGUGACUAACCUUGAAGUAAACAGAUGACACAAUGUUUUUUCAAUGUCAUGGGCAUAUAAUGAAGAGAAAACAGAGAUGCUUGUUUGACAGAUACAGUAAUAGUAGGAGUUAUGAGGGAAGAUAGAAUGCAGUGAUAACUAUAUUGAGGCACCACUUCAUCACCAAGAACAUGAAAUGAAUUAUCAAUGUUUUCGGUGUGUUUGAACACCCAUUUUAAAUAAUACAGCUCAGAGUGAAUUUUUCAAAAUAAUUAAUUCUGUUUUCAAAGUUUUUUAUUUUAGAUCUUAGUUGAUCUUGUCAAGUACUUAAUUUUUUUAGGGAUGGCAACAAUUACUAAAAUCAAUACUCGAGUACUCGGUCAUUUAGAGUAUUCGGUUACUGGGAUGAUUUCCAAUGAUCUUUAAAUUUUUAUCACACAAUAUCAACACCGUCUGCAUGCUACCUUCAUUUCUAUUUUAAUUCAUAGAAUUUGUAGCUAUAAAUAGGAUUGCAAGAAAUACAUAUAAUAAAUAUAAGCAUAAGAAAUGUCAAUGACAGCAUUUAUUAUAUACCUAUAAAUUUUUCUUCCUAAAACACAGGAUUAUCUUGAAGCGCAAAUAGUUUUCAACGGUUAGAAAAUUCUGUAUUAUGUUAGAGACAAAUACAGUACCAUAUAUGAAAGGCCUGGACUAUUUUUAUGCUCCCCAAAAAAUUUCGGGUGAGCAUAUAGUCGCCGCCUUGUCCGUCCGUCCGUCCAUCCCCUUUUCUUGUCCGGGACUUAACUUUGAAACAACAACAGGUAUUAACAUGAAACUUUGUAGGUAGAUAGAUCUCAUUGAGUAGGUGUGCAGUGCACAAGAACCUUAACUCUGCCUUGCUUAAUUUUUGAAUUAUUCCCCUUUGUUUAUUUUACACUUUGAACUUUGUCCGGGACAUAACUCUAAAACUAUAAGAGGUAUCAACAUGAAACUUUGUAGGUAGAUAGAUCUAAUUGAGUAGGUGUGCAGUGCACAAGAACCGUAACUCUGCCUUGUCUAAUUUUUGAAUUAUUCCCCUUUGUUUAUUUUUACACUUUGAACUUUGUCCGGGACAUAACUCUAAAACUAUAAGAGGUAUCAACAUGAAACUUUGUAGGUAGAUAGAUCUAAUUGAGUAGGUGUGCAGUGCACAAGAACCGUAACUCUGCCUUGCUUAAUUUUUGAAUUAUACCCCUUUGUUUAUUUUACACUUUGAACUUUGUCCGGGACAUAACUCUAAAAGUAUAAGAGGUAUCAACAUGAAACUUUGUAGGUAGAUAGAUCUCAUUGACUUGGUAUGCAGUGUACAAGAACCGUAACUCUGCCUUACCUAAUUUUUGAAUAAUCCCCCUUUGUUUAUUUUAUACUUUGAAAUUUGUCCGGGACAUAACCUUUAAACUAUAAGAGGUAUCAACAUGAAACUUUGUAGGUAGAUAGAUCUCAUUGACUUGGUAUGCAGUGCACAAGAACCGUAACUCUGCCUUGCCUAAUUUUUGAAUUAUCCCCCUUUCUUUAUUUUACACUUUGAACUUUGUCUCUAAAACUAUAAGAGGUAUCAACAUGAAACUUUGUAGGUAGAUAGAUUUCAUUGAGUUGGUAAGCAGUGCACAAGAACCUUAACUCUCCCUUGCCUAAUUUUUGAAUUAUCCCCCUUUGUUUAUUUUUACACUUUGAACUUUGUCUGAGACAUAACUCUCAAUGUAAAAGAGAUAUCAACAUGAAACUUUGUAGGUAGAUAGAUAUCGUUGAGUAAGUUUGCAGUGCACAAGAACUGUAACACUGUCUUGCCUACUUUUGGAGUUAUUGCCCUUUGAUCAUUUUGACACUUUGAACUUUGUCCGGGACAUUACUCUAAGCAGUGCUUAAGAAUUAUUACUCUGCCUUGCCUUAUUUUGAAGUAAUUGCCCUUUGUUUAUUUUUACUUUUUGACUUUUGUACGAGACAUAACUUUAAAACUAUUAGAGAUAUCAACAUGAAACUUUGUAGGUAGCUAGAUAUAAUUGGAUAGAACUGCAAUGCUUAAAGAACCUAAAGAAAGCCUGGUCUAAUUUUGGAGUUAUUACCGUAAUUUCAUUUUUACACUUUGAAUUUUACCUUGGACAUAACUCUGAUAUCAUCAGGCAACUUUAUAGAUGGAUAGAUCUAAUUGAAUAGAAGUGCAGUGCAAAAAAAAAACAUAACUCCGCUUUGCCUAAUUUUGGGGUUUUUGCCCUUUGUUCAUUUUUUUUACACUUUCCAGUGUCCAGAACCUUCUCGGGGAGCAUCACCCGGUUCAACCGGUUCUUGUUAAUGUUGGUUCUGAUCUUAGCUGUGUAUAACAUAGUAUAUGGAAACGGCAACCAAAAUAAUAAAAGUGUGGCUGGUUUUGCACAAAUUACGUAUUCAUCUGUCAGUCAUAAUUUAUUUCUUGACAGCUACAUUUCUUUUUCUGAAAUUUCUUAUAUAAGUGUAGUAUAAUGAAAAUCAUUUAUACUUCAAACGAAAAGGUAUAUUAUUAAAGGAAAAUUAUGUUGUAGUAGCUUUCUGAGGCUAUGCAUUUUUCUACUUGCAAUGUUGGAAAAUUGUUAUCUAGCUCGCCCUUUAGUCUCGCAAGAUAUCAAUUUCCCACCGCUGCUCAUAGCAAAAUAAAAAGCCUCAGAGAGCUACUACAACAUAAUAUUCUGUAUAUAUAUUUUUUUAUAAUUAACAAGUUUGGGCUAUCCUUGAACUUUUUUUUUAUUUAAUCAAGAUUGAUUUUUUUAAAAUAUAUUUAUAUGAAUGCAUGCAGCUUUGAAAUAGAUUUUACUUAUGUAUAUUUGGCAGCAAUUUCACAUGUAGCUCUUCGAAAAAAAAUCACUUGAGCAAAAAAAAUUUUAUAGGCAUAAAGUGAUACCCGUUCUGUCAUCAUCAGUUUUUGGUUUUUAGCUCACCUGAGCUUGCUCAGGGUGAGCUUUAAGGAUCGGUGAAUGUCCGUCGUCCGUCCACAAUUGCUUGUCUCAAUCAUCAUCAAACUUGGUCAGGAUGCUUAUCUAGUUGAAAGCAUGGAUGAGUUCGAACAUAAGUCAUCUCGGAUGAAAGGCUAGGUCACAAGAGCUAAAAAAAGAAAAACCUUGUGAACACUGUAGAGGUCACAUUUUUGACCCAAUCAUCAUUAAACUUGGUCAGGAUGUUUGCCUAGGUGAUAGCUCGGAUGAGUUCGAACAUGGGUCAUCUCUGAUGAAAAAGUAGGUCACAGGAGCUAUAAAUAGAAACACCUUGUGAACACUCUAGUGGUCACAUUUUUAAACCAAUCAUCAUCAAACUUGGUCAGAAUGCUUGUCUAGUCAAUUGCUUGGAUGAGUUUGAACAUGGGUCAUCUCUGAUGAAAAACUAGGUCACAGGAGCUAAAAAUAGAAAAACCUUGUGAACACUCUAGUGGUCACAUUUUUGACCCGAUCAUCAUCACACUUUGUCAGGAUGCUUAUCUGGUUGAUAGCUCGGUGAGUUCGAACAUGGGUCAUUUAGGAUGUAAAACUAGGUCACCAGAGCUAUAAAUAGAAAAACCUUGUUAACACUCUAGCAGUCACAUUUUUGCAUCAAUCAUCAUCAAACUUGGUCAGGAUGCUUAUCUAGUUGAUAUCUUGGAUGAGUUUGAACAUGGGUCAUCUCAGAUGAAAAUGUAGGUCACCGGAGCUAAAAAUAGAAAAACAUUGUUAACAAUCUAGCGGUCACAUUUUUGCAUCAAUCAUCAUCAAACUUGGUCAAGAUGCUUGUCUAUGUGAUAGCUCUGGUGAGUACAAACAUGGGUCAUCUCGGAUGAAAAAGUAGGUCACCGGAGCUAAAAAUAGAAAAACCUUGUUAACACUCUAGCAGUCACCUUUUUGCAUCAGUCAUCAUCAAACUUUUGUCAAGAUGUUUGUCUAGUUGAUAGCUCGGAUGAGUUUGAACAUGGGUCAUCUUGGAUGAAAAAGUAGGUCACCUGGGGUAGAAAUAGAAAAACCUUGUUAACACUCUUGUGGUCACAUUUUUGCAUCAAUCAUCAUCAAACUUGAUUAAGAUGCUUGUCUAGGUGAUAGCUCGGAUGAGUUCGGAAAUGGGUCAUCUCGGAUGAAAAACUAGGUCACAGGAGCUAAAAAUAGAAAAACCUUGUCUACACUCUAGUGGUCUCAAUUUUGACUCAAUUGUUAGCAAACUUGGUCAGGAAACUUGCCUAGGUCAUUGCUGGGAAUAAAUCGAACAUGGGACAUCUCGGAUGAAAAACUAGGUCACAGGAGAUAAAAAUAGAAAAAUCUUGUUAACACUCUAGUGGCUACUGUUGUGAUCCAAAUAUUCUGUUAAUUGGUCUAAAAGUUUGUUUUGAUGAUUUCUAAGUCAAGAUCCAACAUGGGUCAUCUCGGAUGAAAAACUAGGUCACGCCGCCCAAAUAUGGAAAAGCCUUGUUAACAUUCUACUGGUUACAUUUUCGACUCAAUUAUCAUCAAACUUGGUCAGGAUGCUUGUCUAGGUAAUUGCUUGGAUGAGUUCGAAAUCGCAUGUGAAACUAGGUCACCGGAGCUAAAAAUAGAAAAAUCUUGUUAACACUCUUGUUGCUACUGUUUUGAUCCAAGUAUCCUGGAAAUUGGUCUGACAGUUUGUUUGAUGAUUUUUAGGUCAAGUUUGAAUAUGUGUCACCUGAGUAAAAACAAGGUCGCACUUCUCAAAUAUGGAUAAUCCUUGUUAACACUGUAGUGGUCACAUUUUUGACUCACCUGUCGUGAGACUUGGUCAGAAUGUUUGUCUAGGUAAUUGUUUGGAUGAGUUUGAUAAGUCAGGUGAGCGAUCUAGGGCUAUCAUGGCCCUCUUGUUUUGUAUGGUUUUAUUUAAGAAAUAUUUUGUUCCAGUUAUUUACAGAUGUUUGUAUGAUUAUUGGAUUAAAGUUAAAGUACA